rnacentral:lncRNA from 1 species
GGUCCAGACCCUCAGCGGGUGUCUGGGUUACAGCGGUGGGGCUGGGAACCAGAACUCCUGGGUUCUCUCCCCGGCUCUGAGAGGAGAGGGGGGUCUAGUGGUUAGAGCGGGGGGGGGCAUAGCAACAGCCUCUGGCUGGCAAAUGUGACUCAGCCCCUGCGCUCUGCCCUCCCCCACAUCCUGUGUGUCUUUGCCAUGGUCUGCCUGGGCCGCGCUCCAGCCCCGGAUGUGGAUGACUGUGACAGGUGCUGGGCCCCAGGGGGAACGUCACAAACAUGUAGCAAUCGCCUGGCCGCUGCUGGAGGGGAGAGUGGCUGAGCGCUGGCUGCGCUGCCCGUAGACCGGCCCGGGGCUAGCUCACCAUGUGGGGCCCUGCCCUGCCCUUCCUCUGCCUCCUGAUUGCAGACGCCGUCUCCGCUCAGGGACAGGGGCCGUGUGGGGAUUGCUACCAGAUCCAGACACCCGUCAUCGUCGGCGUGGUGAUCGGCGACCUCAUCUUCACCCUGUUCCUCAUCGCUGGGGUGUAUCACUGCACCAAGCGCUGCGGCAAACCCACGG